rnacentral:rRNA from 1 species
GACGAACGCUGGCGGCGUGCCUAACACAUGCAAGUCGAGCGAGUGAAUCUCCUUCGGGAGUGAAGCUAGCGGCGGACGGGUGAGUAACACGUGGGCAACCUGCCUCAUAGAGGGGAAUAGCCUUUCGAAAGGAAGAUUAAUACCGCAUAAGAUUGUAGCUUCGCAUGAAGUAGCAAUUAAAGGAGCAAUCCGCUAUGAGAUGGGCCCGCGGCGCAUUAGCUAGUUGGUGAGGUAACGGCUCACCAAGGCGACGAUGCGUAGCCGACCUGAGAGGGUGAUCGGCCACAUUGGGACUGAGACACGGCCAAGACUCCUACGGGGGGCGGCAGUGGGGAAUAUUGCACAAUGGGGGAAACCUUGAUGCAGCAACGCCGCGUGAGUGAUGACGGCCUUCGGGUUGUAAAGCUCUGUCUUCAGGGACGAUAAUGACGGUACCUGAGGAGGAAGCCACGGCUAGCUACGUGCCAGCAGCCGCCGUAAAAC